rnacentral:rRNA from 1 species
AUUGAACGCUGGCGGCAGGCCUAACACAUGCAAGUCGAACGAGUGGCGGACGGGUGAGUAAUGUCUGGGAAACUGCCAGAUGGAGGGGGAUCACUACUGGAAACGGUAGCUAAUACCGCAUACCAUCGGAUGUGCCCAGAUGGGAUUAGCGAGUAGGUGGGGUACAGGCGCACCAAGGCGACGAUCCCUAGCUGGUCUGAGAGGAUGACCAGCCACACUGGAACGGAGACACGGUCCAGACUCCUACGGGAGGCAGCAGUGGGGAAUAUUGCACAAUGGGCUCAAGCCUGAUGCAGCCAUGCCGAGUGUAUGAAGAAGGCCUUCGGGGUGUAAAGUACUUUCAGCGAGGAGGCGUUACUCGCAGAAGAAGCACCGGCUAACUCCGUGCCAGCAGCCGCGGUAAUAC